GACGAACGCUGGCGGCGUGCUUAACACAUGCAAGUCGAACGGAAAGGCCCUGCUUUUGUGGGGUGCUCGAGUGGCGAACGGGUGAGUAACACGUGAGUAACCUGCCCUUGACUUUGGGAUAACUUCAGAAAACUGGGGCUAAUACCGGCUAGGAGCUCCUGCUGCAUGGUGGGGGUUGGAAAGUUUCGGCGGUUGGGGAUGGACUCGCGGCUUAUCAGCUUGUUGGUGGGGUAGUGGCUUACCAAGGCUUUGACGGGUAGCCGGCCUGAGAGGGUGACCGGCCACAUUGGGACUGAGAUACGGCCCAGACUCCUACGGGAGGCAGCAGUGGGGAAUAUUGCACAAUGGGCGGAAGCCUGAUGCAGCAACGCCGCGUGCGGGAUGACGGCCUUCGGGUUGUAAACCGCUUUCGCCUGUGACGAAGCGUGAGUGACGGUAAUGGGUAAAGAAGCACCGGCUAACUACGUG
rnacentral:rRNA from 1 species